rnacentral:piRNA from 1 species
GUCAGUACCAGAACACCCUUCUCCGUC